rnacentral:rRNA from 1 species
UGGGGAAUAUUGGACAAUGGGGGCAACCCUGAUCCAGCAAUGCCGCGUGUGUGAAGAAGGUCUUCGGAUUGUAAAGCACUUUCGACGGGGACGAUGAUGACGGUACCCGUAGAAGAAGCCCCGGCUAACUUCGUGCCAGCAGCCGCGGUAAUACGAAGGGGGCUAGCGUUGCUCGGAAUGACUGGGCGUAAAGGGCGUGUAGGCGGUUUACACAGUCAGAUGUGAAAUCCCCGGGCUUAACCUGGGAGCUGCAUUUGAUACGU